GAUGAACGCUAGCGAUAGGCUUAACACAUGCAAGUCGAGGGGCAGCAUGAUCUUAGCUUGCUAAGGUUGAUGGCGACCGGCGCACGGGUGCGUAACGCGUAUGCAACUUGCCUUACAGAGGGGGAUAACCCGUUGAAAGACGGACUAAAACCGCAUACACUUGUAUUAUUGCAUGAUAUUACAAGGAAAUAUUUAUAGCUGUAAGAUAGGCAUGCGUCCCAUUAGCUGGUUGGUGGGGUAACGGCUCACCAAGGCGACGAUGGGUAGGGGAACUGAGAGGUUUAUCCCCCACACUGGUACUGAGACACGGACCAGACUCCUACGGGAGGCAGCAGUGAGGAAUAUUGGUCAAUGGGCGAGAGCCUGAACCAGCCAAGUCGCGUGAAGGAAGACAGUCCUAAGGAUUGUAAACUUCUUUUAUACGGGAAUAACGGGCGAUACGAGUAUUGCAUUGAAUGUACCGUAAGAAUAAGCAUCGGCUAA
rnacentral:rRNA from 1 species